CAGACGGUGGACUUGUGAAAGAGCACUAUGGCAGUUGAUCACCUGCAUGUAGUCCUGUUACUAGCUGUGCUGUUCGGUACUGUGAUAUGUAGAAUCCAUACUGAGAGCCAAUAUGAAUUUAACAUUAAAACGUUUAUGAACACAAGUGAACCAAUUUGGACGUACAACUCCACUAUUGGUGCGAACGUCACAUGCAGAGUGGAUCAAAUGGUCAACAUAACAGAAGAAGUAAUUUACUUCAACAGAUCAAUGUAUUACAAAGGAAACAAGACAGGAUAUCCGGUGCAAGGCGAUUUUUUCCCCAACGAAACAGAUAAUCCAUAUGCGAUUUUAUAUGGUGGACCAGG